CGCCGUGAUGAAACCCGAGAUAGGGACAGCUUAUGCCGUUGGCAUAUGAUGCGAAUCCGGGCGAGUAUUUUAGUAGAUGCCUCGAUUUUCUGAUG
rnacentral:snoRNA from 1 species